rnacentral:rRNA from 1 species
AUUGAACGCUGGCGGCAGGCCUAACACAUGCAAGUCGAGCGAGCGGCGGACGGGUGAGUAAUGUCUGGGAAACUGCCUGAUCGAUGGUGAUAACUACUGGAAACGGUAGCUAAUACCGCAUACCCUCAGAUGUGCCCAGCAGUGAUUAGCUAGUGGGUGGGGUAACGGCUCACCUAGGCGACGAUCCCUAGCUGGUCUGAGAGGAUGACCAGCCACACUGGAACUGAGACACGGUCCAGACUCCUACGGGAGGCAGCAGUGGGGAAUAUUGGACAAUGGGCGAAAGCCUGAUGCAGCCAUGCCGCGUGUGUGAAGAAGGCCUUCGGGUUGUAAAGCUCUUUCAGCGGGGAGGCGUUACCCGCCGAAGAAGCACCGGCUAACUCCGUGCCAGCAGCCGCGGUAAUUC